rnacentral:tRNA from 1 species
GCCCGGAUGGCGAAACGGAAAACGCGCCGGUCUCAGAAGCCGGUGGCCGCAAGGCCGUGUGGGUUCGAGUCCCACUCCGGGCACCA